AAUGCCCUGCUGUGUUUGUGUAGUACUGAUGUUUUGAGCCAACACAUUUAAGACGGGAGUCUAACUCUGAUUACAGCAUGCAGGCCCUUUUAGGGAAACAUAAAAUAAUCAGGAAGACACCCACCUGCAUAGGCAGGUUCAAAACAACGGUCAAAACGGCAUGGUGGGGAUACC
rnacentral:other from 1 species